AUUAUUAGUAAUACCUGCUCCAUGUAAAUAUAAAUAGCCGCAGGAAUUUUACUGUGCUAAGGUAGCAUAAUCACUAGCCUUUUAAUUAAAGGCUUGUAUGAAGGGUAAAACAUUUAAAUUUCUUUUUUAUUUAAGUUCUUUAAAAUUAUAUUAAACAUAAAAAUAUGUUUAUUUAUUUAAAAGACGACAAGACCCUAUUGAACUUUACUGAAGUUUAGCUGGGGCAGCUAAUUAAUUAAUAUUUUAAUAUUUAUAAAUUUAUUCUUCUUUAAAUGACCCAAUAUAAUUUGAUUUUAUGAAUUAAGUUACCAUAGGGAUAACAGCGUAAUUUUUUUUAAAAGUUCAUAUUUAAAAAAAAGAUUGCGACCUCGAUGUUGAAUUAUUGUAACUAAUAUACGCAGUAGUAUAUAUAAGUAGGUCUGUUCGACCUUUAAUUCUUUACGUGAUC
rnacentral:rRNA from 1 species